rnacentral:rRNA from 1 species
GGGGGGGGGGGGGGGGAGGGCGGGGGGGGGCAAGGGGGGGGGGUGCGGGGAGCUGGCUCCGGGGUUCAGCGGGGGAGGGGUGAGUAAUGGCUAGGCAUCUGCCUGGUAGUGGGGGAUAACGUCCGGAGACGGGGGCUAAUCGCGCAUAGGUACUGGGGGAGAGAGUGGGGGAUCUUCGGACCUCACGCUAUCAGAUGAGCCUAGGUCGGAUUAGCUAGUUGGUGGGGUAAAGGCGUACGCAGGCGACGAUCCGUAACUGGUCUGAGAGGAUGAUCAGUCACACUGGAACUGAGACACGGUCCAGACUCCUACGGGAGGCAGCAGUGGGGAAUAUUGGACAAUGGGCGAAAGCCUGAUCCAGCCAUGCCGCGUGUGUGAAGAAGGUCUUCGGAUUGUAAAGCACUUUAAGUUGGGAGGAAGGGCAGUAAGUUAAUACCUUGCUGUUUUGACGUUACCAACAGAAUAAGCACCGGCUAACUUCGUG